rnacentral:tRNA from 5 species
GCCGACUUAGCUCAAUUGGCAGAGCAAUUGAUUUGUAAUCAAUAGGUUGUAGGUUCGAUUCCUAUAGUCGGCACCA